UGUUUCUUCAAAUCAGGAACAGCCAGAUGGAUGAGAUGCAUGAGUUUUGUAGGUUUAUAUGUGAUGGUGGAUGAGAGACUUUGUAAAAGAGCUUCAUGUUCCCUGCCAUCCCAUCUAGAAAGCAGGAAUAGAACAACACGAGUAUUUUCAGAAGAUCUGAAGAAAAUAUCAUUCAUGCAGAAUCAAGCUUCCUAUUCAAGUUCCUUCAAUCAGCUUAACAGGGGAGCAAGAGAUGACCGAUAAAAUUAAAUAAAUAAAUAAACAAACAAACA
rnacentral:lncRNA from 1 species